CAGCAGCCGCGGGAAUACGUAGGGUGCGAGCGUUAAUCGGAAUUACUGGGCGUAAAGCGUGCGCAGGCGGUUCGCUAAGACAGAUGUGAAAUCCCCGGGCUUAACCUGGGAACUGCGCUUGUGACUGCACAGCUAGAGUAUGGCAGAGGGGGGUGGAAUUCCACGUGUAGCAGUGAAAUGCGUAGAGAUGUGGAGGAACACCGAUGGCGAAGGCAGCCCCCUGGGCCAAUACUGACGCUCAUGCACGAAAGCGUGGGGAGCAAACAGGAUUAGAUACCCCAGUAGUCCCUGUCUCUUAUAC
rnacentral:rRNA from 1 species